rnacentral:rRNA from 1 species
UACAGGGGGUGCAAACGUUGCUCGGAAUUAUUGGGCGUAAAGGGUGCGUAGGCGGUUUGGUAAGUCUUAUGUGAAAUCUACAGGCUCAACUUGUAGUCUGCAUGAGAAACUGCCGGGCUUGAGUAUGGGAGAGGUGAGUGGAAUUCCUGGUGUAGCGGUGAAAUGCGUAGAUAUCAGGAGGAACACCUGUGGCGAAAGCGGCUCACUGGACCAUAACUGACGCUGAUGCACGAAAGCUAGGGGAGCAAACAGG